UGCCAGUGAUAAACUGGAGGAAGGUGGGGAUGACGUCAAGUCAUCAUGGCCCUUACGACCAGGGCUACACACGUGCUACAAUGGCAUAUACAAAGAGAAGCGACCUCGCGAGAGCAAGCGGACCUCAUAAAGUAUGUCGUAGUCCGGAUUGGAGUCUGCAACUCGACUCCAUGAAGUCGGAAUCGCUAGUAAUCGUAGAUCAGAAUGCUACGGUGAAUACGUUCCCGGGCCUUGUACACACCGCCCGUCACACCAUGGGAGUGGGUUGCAAAAGAAGUAGGUAGCUUAACCUUCGGGAGGGCGCUUACCACUUUGUGAUUCAUGACUGGG
rnacentral:rRNA from 1 species